ACGGACCUUUCGGGGUUAGUGGCGGACGGGUGAGUAACGCGUAGGGAUCUGUCCACGAGAGGGGGAUAACUUUGGGAAACUGGAGCUAAUACCGCAUGAUACCUGAGGGUUAAAGGAGAGAUCCGCUUGUGGAGGAACCUGCGUUUGAUUAGCUAGUUGGUGGGGUAAAGGCCUACCAAGGCGAUGAUCGAUAGCUGGUUUGAGAGGAUGAUCAGCCACACUGGGACUGAGACACGGCCCAG
rnacentral:rRNA from 1 species